AAAGCUCUCAGCCUUGGUAAGGUGAAGCUGAUCCUUGGUGGGUACUGAGCAGGAGAAGCUUGGUCUUUUAGUGUUGGCAGAGAGUGGAGCAACACAUCUGAUUCUUGUCCACAGAGCCCUAGCUGUAAAUACUAAAGUAAGAAGCACAAAAGACAGAUGCAGAAAAAUAAACCCAAGCCAAGAGAUGAAAUUAUUCUAAGACAAAAUGAAAAGUCUAAAAUGGGAACAGAGAUAUAUAAGUAUCUGAGAAGAAUACAUUAGGAAAAUAUUUUCAAGGUGUUCAUUUUCCAGAGUCUUCUACGCUCCUCCCGACUCCAGAAAAUAAGAAAAGAGUCUUUAUAAUGUAGAUGAACUGCACAUUCCAAGACAGUAAUAUGGAGAAGAGAAAGGUUAAGAAGGGAAAGAAACUUCACAUGAGGAACCAUCAUUUAUCCACUUAAGGAAAUACUGCAGUCAUUCACUGGGAACUGCUUCUAAAAUGAAAGAACAACAACUCUUCCUAGAAAUGGGUGCUUAGAGAAAGUGUGCUUUCUGCAGAAAAUGCCUUCCCCAAUGCAAAUUUUGCUUCAAAUCAUUUUGAAGUGGACCUUAUACUAAACUCUAUCUAGCCUUGGACACCUUGAGCCAAGCAAACAAAACUAUUCAUAGGAGACUAUUGGCUCUGCCUCCAAGCCUGAUGCAGGAACACUGACAUUACCGAUUGAUGAGUGGCAAAGGGCAUCUAGCAUCAGUCUGCUCAAGCCAAAUCGAGUUGUUUGCAAUUCCUGACAGGUCCAACUGCUACAAAAUACUAGCUCCUUAAAUGCUCUUCAUAUAACUUACCUGUUUCCAAAUCAGAGUACAUCAACGUGGUAUUCAGAAAAUAUUUACGAAGGCUUUGUAUGUUUUCCUGAUGCAGAUAAUGCUUAGUAUCUUGUUCUCUAAUAUAAACUUCUUGGCUAAAUUCUCUACCAUCAUUAUUCAAAUACAAGGAGAUUAAAACUGCAAAUUGAAAA